ACGUAGGGUGCAAGCGUUAAUCGGAAUUACUGGGCGUAAAGCGUGCGCAGGCGGUUCGGAAAGAGAGGUGUGAAAUCCCAGGGCUUAACCUUGGAACUGCACUUUUAACUACCGGGCUAGAGUACGUCAGAGGGGGGUAGAAUUCCACGUGUAGCAGUGAAAUGCGUAGAGAUGUGGAGGAAUACCGAUGGCGAAGGCAGCCCCCUGGGAUGAUACUGACGCUCAUGCACGAAAGCGUGGGGAGCAAACAGGA
rnacentral:rRNA from 1 species